GCCGCCUCUGGGAGUCGCAGGAGCGCGGCCGCGCGCGGGGUCGGAGCGCCGAGGGUGGUGCUUCCGCGGAGAGUCCUGUCCCGGGGCCAAUCUCGGAAGGUCAUGGAGGAGCCAGGGAGAGCGAAGCGGACGGGGCCGUGCAAAUCCCCACAGAAGGCCGGCCGAGCGUGCGGCGGCCCUGCGGGAAGGAGAGUGGCUCCCGAAACGCUGUCAGUGCGCCUUGCUAACGUUGCGUUGAGGACUGGAAAAUGUGGGGCCGUGCUUUAGCCUCCCGUGUGAAAACACACGAAAACCGGCUUCUGUGCCUCCGCGAGGGUGGCGGGGGGGGGGGGGGGGGAGGGGAGGAGGAGCGAUUGCUUAGAUUAUAGGAGUUACCUAAAAGGCGCCCAGGGCUGGGGCCCUGCGGCUCCAGCCACCUUCCUCCUCUGUAGUGCAGGGCUCCCUCAGUCCAAGGGGGCCCGCGGGGCAUUCUGAUAAUAUCCUGGAGCCAUCUAGUCUUGCCUCCAAGGCGUGGUGGGCUUAUUUGUGCAAAGAAGAAACGGAUCCCUUAAUGGGGUGAGAUUUUUUCCUCCUUGCAUUGUUCCCAUUUCCGCAGUUUCACUUGGCCUCGAUUUUCUUCCAGAGUAAUGCACCAAAUGAAAUUAGCUGGAGAGCGCUUGAUGGCGCAGAAUCAUGGUUUGAAGAUGUUUACACUCUAUGCCGGACGCGUUUGAUGAUGUUCUCUUUGGCACGAUUAAUUUUGCAAAGUUAAGAAAUGUGCCAGAUAGAGCCCCUGGCACGCAGAGUCACAGGGCUCUGCAGACACACCUUUGAUAGGAAGCCAGCUUGUUUGUUUCAUUUGUGAUUUAUUUGAUGCACCAGCACCAAAACCAAUGUGUUUUCUAGAGACCUUUGGGUGAAAUUCUAAACUGGCAAAAUGAAGCUUAUUUUCUGAAAGAACGUUUCACUAUUGAUAAUGUGACUAAAACAGGCAACCAAACACCUGCAAGAAUAUUAAUUGAAAAGUAAGCUUCAGAGACAAAAAAUGUGUUUCACAGUAAGACAUGGUCCCUGCUAGUUCCUAAGAGCCAACUCCAUCCAUACAACUUCAGUUUACAGAGACUGUUUUGAAAUCGAAUCCACCAUCCAAUGUACUGGCCACCCACUAUUUGGCCUGAUGUGAGCUUCCUAUGCAUGUAAAGAUGCCACUUUGGACUGUUUAAAGUCUUGCUCAGGGCAAGCAGCCUCCAGUUGUUACAACCAAAAAUGUCUCCAGACACUGCCAAGUGUCCCCUUGGAAACAAGUUGAUCCCAGUUGAGAAAUACUGUCUGUCCUAAAAGGGCUUGGAUGUUUUCCUGACCUCCAUUGUCAGCUGCUUCCUCCCUCAUCUUCUGUCCUGCCUCUCCUUUGCACAAAUCCACCUGGCUGGCCUCCCUGCUGUUCUCUGAGUGCGCCAGGCACCUCAGUUCUGCACCUGCUCUUUCCUCUGCCUGUAAUAUUCUUCCUCCAGGUAUCUGUAUGGCUCGCACCCACUCCUGGAAGGAUUUUCCCAAAGGUCACCUUCUCAGUGAGGCUUUCCCUGGCCUCCUUAUUAAAAAUGUUAAUCCAUGGGGCUCCUGGGUGGCUCAGUCAGUUGAGCGUCCGACUUCGGCUCAGGUCAUGAUCUCACGGUCCGUGAGUUCGAGCCCCCCGUCGGGCUCUGUGCUGACAGCUCAGAACCUGGAGCCUGCUUCGGAUUCUGUGUCUCCCUCUCUUGCUGCCCCUCCCCCGCUCAUGCUCUGUCUCUCUCUCCCUGUCAAAAAUAAAAAUAAACAUUAAAAAAAUUAAAAUUCUUAA